CAAGUGCUGCAGUUAUCGACAGGUUAACCCAAAAAAGCCAUCGUACAAUUAACGAUUUGUUUAUUUCCAUUUGAUUGAAUUCUACUAUGUAAAACAAUCGUUGAUUGGUUGUUUAGAAGGGUAUUUCCCGGUUCCAAUUAUUUUUACACAGCGUGACACUCGGUAGUAACUACUAAUUCUAAGGCUGUAGUUAUCGGCACAUGGACGCAAUUAUCGACAGAUAUAUUGAUGUAAGCAGAGAUAGUAAAGACUGUGAUGGAUAAUGAGUUUAUUAAAGGCAUAAGACUUGUCUGAGACAGUUGAAGUACAUGUAGUUGCUACUAUAAGCUCAGAGUCAGAUGGACCCACUUGCCUUCAGGAGAUAUUAAGGGGAAAAGGACUGAUCACUUAAGAACUUAGUCAAAAUCUCUUUCUUGGAUAGUGAAUAACCUGAAAUAUAAAAUAAAGAUUCAUAGUCAUGGCAAAUAAAAUAGAUGAAGAACCUAUUAAUAUAUAUAGGAAAUUUGAUUUGAAACGUUUUAUUUAAGAAGUUAUCAAAAUUGCAUACAUUUGUAGUUGAAAUACAUGAACCAUAACAUCAUUAAAAGGUGCACUUCAUAGAUUAUUUCAGCAUAUAAUUUUUGUUUUCCGAUUUCAACAGAGUAUAAAAUUCAAGGUAAAAAUUUUGCCAUCAGAUUUGCAUAGUUUAUUUGAGCUUUCUCCUCAGCAGGAGUCUAAACUGACGGAAGUCCGGGCCUUGAUGGCAUUUCAGGAACUCUUCCCAAAUGGUUAUCUAAAAGGGUGGUCCUUGGAACCCCAUAUAGCCUGGCAGCCUUUACCUUCGACAUCCCAUUACAUCUCAUAGUUGACUUCAACUUCCCCUCAUUUUGGGUGGCAAGUAUUGGACCCUCUUAUGAUUUUGAGAUGACGUCUAGAACAGGAGUAAUAUUCUAAUCUUUCAUGACUGUAUUGAAACCUAUCAUCUUUAAAGUUUAAAUUUGUCUGAGGUAGAACUAAAUGUUUACUGUUGAACAUUGUAUGUAAAUGGAUAAUUAAACAAAACAUUAAUAUUCUAUAUAGUUACAUUAUUUUUAUACUCUUCAAUAAAAUUGUUUUUAAAACAUAAAUUUUUAUUUAAAAAUUGCAAUGUGUCGAUAACUGUAGACCUUUCUGUUUACUGGACGUAGUUAUCGACACCCCCCUACAACUGUAUCAAUACCGUUAAUAUUGCAUAUUUAGUGGUC